GUUUUUUUUUUAGAUAAAACCAGGCAGUGGAGAUGUGGUAUGAUAGCAAAUAAGAUAACUAUCCAUCAGGAUCAAAUAAAGUGUAUGUAAGCAAUUAUAUGCUAUCGUACGGCCUUCAACAACGAAAACUCGUACCUUAUAGUCGGCUUUAAAAAGCACCGACCGAAAAAUGUGGAAGGAUUCAACAAGAAAACUAACGGC
rnacentral:lncRNA from 1 species